UACGUAGGUGGCGAUCGUUGUCCGGAAUUACUGGGUGUAAAGGGCGUGUAGGCGGGUUGGCAAGUCAGAUGUGAAAUACCACGGCUCAACUGUGGGGGUGCAUCUGAAACUGCCGAUCUUGAGUGCUGGAGAGGAAAGCGGAAUUCCACGUGUAGCGGUGAAAUGCGUAGAUAUGUGGAGGAACACCAGUGGCGAAGGCGGCUUUCUGGACAGUAACUGACGCUGAGGCGCGAAAGCGUGGGGAGAAAACAGG
rnacentral:rRNA from 1 species